rnacentral:rRNA from 1 species
AGUAGUUUGACUCUGGCUCAGGACGACGCUGGCGGCGUGCUUAACACAUGCAGGUCGAACGGAAAGGCCCUGCUUUUGUGGGGUGCUCGAGUGGCGAACGGGUGAGUAACACGUGAGUAACCUGCCCUUGACUUUGGGAUAACUUCAGGAAACUGGGGCUAAUACCGGAUAGGAGCUCCUGCUGCAUGGUGGGGGUUGGAAAGUUUCGGCGGUUGGGGAUGGACUCGCGGCUUAUCAGCUUGUUGGUGGGGGUAGUGGCUUACCAAGGCUUUGACGGGUAGCCGGCCUGAGAGGGUGACCGGCCACAUUGGGACUGAGAUACGGCCCAGACUCCUACGGGAGGCAGCAGUGGGAAUAUUGCACAAUGGGCGGAAGCCUGAUGCAGCAACGCCGCGUGCGGGAUGACGGCCUUCGGGUUGUAAACCGCUUUCGCCUGUGACGAAGCGUGAGUGACGGUAAUGGGUAAAGAAGCACCGGCUAACUACGUG